UUUUUCUUUUUGCUUUUGAGGGCUGCACCCGAGGCAUAUGGAAGUUCCCAGCUAAGGGCCGAAUCCAAGCUACAGCUGGUGGCCUACGCCACAGCCACAGCCAUGUGGGACCCGAGCUGCCUCUGUGACCGACACCGCCACUCACAGCAAUGCCGGAUCCUUAACCCACUGAGCAAGGCUAGAGAUCAAACUCGGGCCCUCAUGGAUACUAGUUGGGUUUGUUUCCGUUGAGCCACAACGGGAACUCCUGAAAGAAUUUCUUAUAAGAAGACCAAAAUUUCUUCCCUUUGUCCCAAUCUGUAAUGGCCCAUCUUGACACACUUCCAAUGACUUAGAAAUUUUUUUAAACUAUUUAUAUCUUUGCAGUUAUUUAACUGAAUGCGGUCAGGGCCAGGUUUUCGGGCAACAUUUCAGAAAUUUCACUUCCUGAGAAUCCUAGAGUGUGGUGGCCUGGGGAGAGGGGGGACAGUGGUGCAGGGUCUCCUAAAUUUGAGCCCCAGCGGGGUGUCCACAGAGACCCAUUCCUAGGCCUCCAUUCAGAGAUGGCAGACACUGGCUUAAUUCUCCCCCUGUCCCCCCUGUCCUCAAGGCCCAUUGUUCUGAAGCAGCUGAUCUCUCGGGCAUGCAGGUGAUUGCCUAAGGUUUUCUGUACCUUUUGGAAAGAGAAUAAACUUAAGUCAAAGAGUAAGCUUCCCCCUGCCCACCCUGCAAUAUAAAAAAAAAAGGGUACAAAUUGAAAAACACUGAUUCAAUAUCUCUAUAUCAUAUAGAUGCUAAAUAUCCCAAUGGCAACAAAACAGCUCACCCUGAGUAUUGAAAUGAUGAAAGGUCAAUGAGACACUGUGGCCAGGGGGGUUGGGGGGGACCCAAUCUGGCUACUACCUAAUGAAUGCAAGCAGAUCUAGUUUAUUCCUUUCGUGAACUAAUUCUUUCAGCGGUACUGUGGAAGUUGUGGAAUAUUUAUGAAGCACCUAUCACGCACCAAACACUGUACAGAUCCUGCUGCAAAAUGGAGAGACUGUACUUUCUGCUUUGGGGGGAUUAUGGGUCCUGGGGUAAGAGAGAUAGGAAAGCAAGUGUAUUUUUACAUCUUAGAUGAAUAUAGUUAAAUACGAGCCUCCCCAAAGUUCGUUCAUGGACCAGCAGAUACAUCUGACUCUUUUCUGUCCUCUUUUCUUCCAGGCUACUUAGUUCAUAGGUUCUUCCCCCCACACUCCCCACCCCUCUCUCAAGACAAGAAUUUUGACUUUUACUGUUUUCAAAAGCCAUGUGUCUUGGAGAAGCAACCAUAAAGGCAGACUCUGUAUUCCUGGAAAUCUCAGCCAUUUGCUGGUUUGACUGCAGCUCGGGGAACAGGGUUGCGGAUAUAAGAUAGCACAUGACAGCUGUCAGAUAAAGAAUGAGGGAAGGUCAUGGUUUAAAAUACUUCACAUCAUUCCAUUUUAAACUUAUCUUUUUUGGAAGAUUCUAUUUUUUUUUGGCCGCUCUCACGAUGCAGUCGCGACCUGUGCCACAGCUGCGGCAACACCGGAUCCGGAAUCUUCUGGGCCACGUGGGGACUUCCGGGAAUCAUUUUUAUAUAACAGAGGUAGCUUCUAUUUUUAAAAGCUGCCAAAUUAGAGCCCCAGGGACUAUGACACUCAACGUGUUCUUAAAAAAGUGACCCUAACCUAGGCCUUGACAGCUCUCCUUUGACAUAACCGUAAAGUAAGCCUCUCCCUCUUCAGGCAACUAAUUUUGACCCCUGCACCGUAUAUUCAUGCGAAAGCUUACAGAAAUGGUUAACAUACCUCUGAAAUAUCAAAGUGAAAGUCCAGAGUUUUCCCAGGUAAUUCCUUGGAAGCACUCGUCCACACUCGGUGUAUUUCCAUCUUUGAAAGGUCACUGUGUUGGUAGGAAGGCAAAACCAGGCUGGCAGAUCGAGACACCACCAGCUUCAGGAUAUUCAGAGCUUCCCUCCAGUGAACACUCUGAUGGUUAAAAAUAAUCUCAUUUGAAAAAGAUCAAUGGGCCACGAGCUACCCAAACUUCUUACGACCAGUCAGAACCCACUGAUUCAAAGCAGUGCAGUACGUUCCACGAUAAGUAAAUGGCCAACGACAUAGAAAGAUGAUUUAUAUAUAAGACAAGUUACAUUUGGGAAACAAGCAAAUAAAAAAGGCCGGUUUUGUCCAUAUUCAAAUAAGUAGACAUUUAAAGUAACAAGGUACCCUUUCUGCUCAUGAGGUAUCUAUCUCCUCGACUUGAAAAACAAAACAAAACAAAGAACCAACGACCCCCGACAACCCGACUGCAUUUUCCGCUACUGACCUCUGGCUCCUUCCCCAGGUUCCCCCACCUUCACUUCCGGGCUUCCUCCCCCUUCUUCUCUGGCUCUUCCUGCUCCAUUGGCCUCCUGGAUGCCUGGCCUCCUCCUCUUGCUCCUUAGCUGGCUCCCGUCCUGACCCAGGCCACUCUAAACUCCCCUCUUUCCCUCCCUCUUGAUAACAUGUUCCCCCCUCUCCAUUUCUGCCGGCACUGGCUCAGCUGAAUCCUCUCUGCCCUCUGCCUGGACAAUUUCAAUGGCCUCUUAACUGGUUUCCCUGCUUGCAGCCUCUCCUUGGGUCCAUCAGACCCACUCCAGUCACAUGAUCUUUCUAGAACUCCUCAGCUCAAGCCACUUCCCUGCCUGAACUCCUUCAAGGGCUCCCCCUGGUGGACAGUGGAGACCAUGCUCUUUAAGCCAGGCCUGGGGGGUGGGGGGUGGGGGUCAUUUGCCCCACUGACCGCUCUACUCUUGCAGUUCCCCAAACCAGGCAAGGCCUCUUAGCCUCUGUGCCUUUCCUCAUGCUAUUCCCUCAUCCUGGAAUGCCCUUCCUCUCCUUGCUUUAUCAAACUCCUUCUCCUCCUGUUGACUCUCACUUUAUUUUACCAUCUUUGUAUCCCCCAGGCCGACUCAGGGCACCUCUCCCACAAAAAACACUGAACAUAAAUAAACCUAGCUGAUAAAAGUUACUUUUUAACUAGGCCUUGAGAUAAAAGUGCAUGAAAUAAAACACAUUUCCUCCAUUGUUAAAUUCUGCCCAGGGAAGGUUAUGGUUUGAAUAUGAAAUUAGCCACCAAGAGAAGGUACUGAGUAUGGGGAUGGCCCACAGGCCUAAGAAUGGGUGGCCUAAGAAAACAAUGACUAUUUUUUAAACUGGGGCACAUGAUUCGGAGAGAAAUGUGAACUGACCCUCUGUCUCUUGUGAGUGUAAAGUGAGAAAGUGUUAAGGCCUAGCAUGGGGUACAACAAUUACUGGAGCAACGCCAUGGGAAAAAAAAAAAAAAA
rnacentral:lncRNA from 1 species